AGUGGAGUGAUGAGUGCUGGAUAAAUUGCUAGCGGCGGACGGGUGCGUAACACGUGGGUAACCUGCCCCUAUCACUGGGAUAACACACUGAAAAGUGUGCUAAUACCAGAUAACAUAAGCUUUUGGCAUCAUUAGCUUAUCAAAGAAUUUCGGAUAGGGAUGGGCCCGCGUCUGAUUAGCUAGUUGGUGAGGUAACGGCUCACCAAGGCAACGAUCAGUAGCCGACCUGAGAGGGUGAUCGGCCACACUGGAACUGAGACACGGUCCAGACUCCUACGGGAGGCAGCAGUGGGGAAUAUUGCACAAUGGGCGAAAGCCUGAUGCAGCAACGCCGCGUGAGCGAUGAAGGCCUUCUGGUCGUAAAGCUCUGUCCUAUGGGAAGAUAAUGACGGUACCAUAGGAGGAAGCCCCGGCUAACUACGUGCCAGCAGCCGCGGUAAUACGUAGGGGGCAAGCGUUAUCCGGAAUUACUGGGCGUAAAGGGUGCGUAGGCGGUUUAUCAAGUCAGGGGUGAAAGGCUACGGCUCAACCGUAGUGAGCCUCUGAAACUGGUGAACUU
rnacentral:rRNA from 1 species